rnacentral:rRNA from 1 species
UUACACAUGCAGUCGAGCGCCCUUUAGGGGGAGCGGCAGACGGGUGAGUAACGCGUGGGAAUCUACCUUUUGCUACGGAAUAACGCAGGGAAACUUGUGCUAAUACCGUAUGUGUCCUUGGGAGAAAGAUUUAUCGGCAAGAGAUGAGCCCGCGUUGGAUUAGCUAGUUGGUGGGGUAAAGGCCUACCAAGGCGACGAUCCAUAGCUGGUCUGAGAGGAUGAUCAGCCACAUUGGGACUGAGACACGGCCCAAACUCCUACGGGAGGCAGCAGUGGGGAAUAUUGGACAAUGGGCGCAAGCCUGAUCCAGCCAUGCCGCGUGAGUGAUGAAGGCCCUAGGGUUGUAAAGCUCUUUCACCGGAGAAGAUAAUGACGGUAUCCGGAGAAGAAGCCCCGGCUAACUUCGUGCCAGCAGCCGCGGUAAUACGAAGGGGGCUAGCGUUGUUCGGAAUUACUGGGCGUAAAGCGCACGUAGGCGGAUCGAUCAGUCAGGGGUGAAAUCCCAGGGCUCAACCCUGGAACUGCCUUUGAUACUGUCGAUCUGGAGUAUGGAACAGGUGAGUGGAAUUCCGAAUGUAGAGGUGAAAUUCAUAGAUAUUCGGAGGAACACCAGUGGGGAAGGC